rnacentral:rRNA from 1 species
CGGACGGGUGAGUAAUGUCUGGGAAACUGCCUGAUGGAGGGGGAUAACUACUGGAAACGGUAGCUAAUACCGCAUAACGUCGCAAGACCAAAGAGGGGGACCUUCGGGCCUCUUGCCAUCGGAUGUGCCCAGAUGGGAUUAGCUAGUAGGUGGGGUAACGGCUCACCUAGGCGACGAUCCCUAGCUGGUCUGAGAGGAUGACCAGCCACGCUGGAGCUGAGACACGGUCCAG